AGAGUUUGAUCCUGGCUCAGAAUGAACGCUGGCGGCGUGCUUAACACAUGCAAGUCGCACGAGAACGCUUCAGCUUGCUGAGGCAAGUAAAGUGGCGCACGGGUGAGUAACGCGUGGGUAAUCUACCUCCGAAUUGGGGAUAACAUUGCGAAAGCGGUGCUAAUACCGAAUAAUAUCCUCAAGACCCCGGUCUUGGAGAUCAAAGGUGGCCUCUACAUGUAAGCUACUGUUUGGAGAUGAGCCCGCGUACCAUUAGCUUGUUGGUAGGGUAACGGCCUACCAAGGCUGCGAUGGUUAGCUGGUCUGAGAGGAUGAUCAGCCACACUGGAACUGACACACGGUCCAGACUCCUACGGGAGGCAGCAGUGAGGAAUUUUGCGCAAUGGGGGAAACCCUGACGCAGCAACGCCGCGUGAGUGAUGAAGGCCUUCGGGUCGUAAAGCUCUGUCAAGUGGGAAGAACCUGCCCGAUGUUAAUACCAUUGGGCAUUGACGGUACCACUGAAGGAAGCACCGGCUAACUCCGUGCCAGCAGCCGCGGUAAUACGGGGGGUGCUAGCGUUAUUCGGAAUCAUUGGGCGUAAAGGGCGCGUAGGCGGUCUUUUAAGUCAGGUGUGAAAGCCCUCGGCUUAACCGAGGAAGUGCAUUUGAUACUAAAAGACUUGAGUAUGGGAGAGGGAAGCGGAAUUCCUGGUGUAGCGGUGAAAUGCGUAGAUAUCAGGAGGAACACCGGUGGCGAAGGCGGCUUCCUGGACCAAUACUGACGCUGAGGCGCGAAGGCGUGGGGGAGCAAACAGGAUU
rnacentral:rRNA from 1 species